GCCCCGCAAGGGGAGUGGCAGACGGGUGAGGAACACGUGUUAACGUACCUUUUGGUACAGAAUAACUCAGGGAAACUUGUGCUAAUACCGGAUAAGCCCUUCGGGGGAAAGAUUUAUCGCCAAAAGAUCGGCCCGCGUCUGAUUAGCUAGUUGGUGAGGUAAAGGCUCACCAAGGCGACGAUCAGUAGCUGGUCUGAGAGGAUGAUCAGCCACACUGGGACUGAGACACGGCCCAGACUCCUACGGGAGGCAGCAGUGG
rnacentral:rRNA from 1 species